rnacentral:rRNA from 1 species
AAUGAACGCUGGCGGCAUGCCUAACACAUGCAAGUCGAACGAGCUGACGGCAUCGGUCCUUCUCGCUUGUUGCGCACGGGCGGGUAAGUCGCGCGUAGAUACCCUAUCGUUCGGACUAACCUAGGGACGCGUUAGCUUAUCUCGUACCCGCUCUUAGUUUGAACCGUUUUAUGCAAAAGGAUUAGCCCGUCUUGCAUUCGGUAGUUGGUGAGGUAAUGUCUCAUUAACCCGACGUUCAGUAGCUGGUCUGAGAGGAUGAUCAGCCACACUGGGACUGAGACACGGCCCAGACUCCUACGGGAGGCAGCAGUGGGGAAUAGUGGACAAUGGGGGCAACCCUGAUCCAGCCAUGCCGCGUGAGUGAAGAAGGCCUUCGGGUUGUAAAGCUCUUUCGACGGGGACGAUGAUGACGGUACCCGUAUAAGAAGCCCCGGCAAACUUCGUG